GAGGAAAGCGGGAGGCGUGCUUAACACAUGCAAGUCGAACGAUGAAGCCCAGCUUGCUGGGUGGAUUAGUGGCGAACGGGUGAGUAACACGUGAGUAACCUGCCCUUAACUCUGGGAUGAGCCUGGGAAACUGGGUCUAAUACCGGAUAGGAGCGUCCACCGCAUGGUGGGUGUUGGAAAGAUUUAUCGGUUUUGGAUGGACUCGCGGCCUAUCAGCUUGUUGGUGAGGUAAUGGCUCACCAAGGCGACGACGGGUAGCCGGCCUGAGAGGGUGACCGGCCACACUGGGACUGAGACACGGCCCAGACUCCUACGGGAGGCAGCAGUGGGGAAUAUUGCACAAUGGGCGCAAGCCUGAUGCAGCGACGCCGCGUGAGGGAUGACGGCCUUCGGGUUGUAAACCUCUUUCAGUAGGGAAGAAGCGAAAGUGACGGUACCUGCAGAAGAAGCACCGGCUAACUACGUG
rnacentral:rRNA from 1 species